AGUGAACGCUGGCGGUAGGCCUAACACAUGCAAGUCGAACGGCAGCACAGGAGAGCUUGCUCUCUGGGUGGCGAGUGGCGGACGGGUGAGGAAUACAUCGGAAUCUACUUUUUCGUGGGGGAUAACGUAGGGAAACUUACGCUAAUACCGCAUACGACCUACGGGUGAAAGCAGGGGACCUUCGGGCCUUGCGCGAUUGAAUGAGCCGAUGUCGGAUUAGCUAGUUGGCGGGGUAAAGGCCCACCAAGGCGACGAUCCGUAGCUGGUCUGAGAGGAGGAUCAGCCACACUGGAACUGAGACACGGUCCAGACGCCUACGGGAGGCAGCAGUGGGGAAUAUUGGACAAUGGGCGCAAGCCUGAUCCAGCCAUACCGCGUGGGUGAAGAGGGCCUUCGGGUUGUAAAGCCCUUUUGUUGGGAAAGAAAUCCAGCUGGCUAAUACCCGGUUGGGAUGACGGUACCCAAAGAAUAAGCACCGGCUAACUUCGUGCCAGCAGCCGCGGUAA
rnacentral:rRNA from 1 species